UACGGGGGGUGCGAGCGUUGUCCGGAAUCACUGGGCGUAAAGGGCGCGUAGGUGGUCUGAUAAGGGUGUGGUGAAAGCCCGGGGCUCAACCCCGGGUCGGCCGUGCCGACUGUUAGACUAGAGUGCUGUAGGGGCAGGCGGAAUUCCGGGUGUAGCGGUGGAAUGCGUAGAGAUCUGGAGGAAGACCGGUGGCGAAGGCGGGUUGCUGGGCUGACACUGACGCUGAUGCGCGAAAGCCAGGGGAGCGAACGGG
rnacentral:rRNA from 1 species